GGGGGUGACUAGUGACAGAGUGAGGGAAAGGGUGACUAGUGGCAGAGUGAGGGAAGGAAGGGGUGACUAGUGACAGAGUGAGGGAGGUGGUGACUGUCACUAGUCACCACCUCCCUCACUCUGUCACUCGUCACCACCUCCCUCUGUCACUACUCCCUCCUUCUGUCACUACUCCUUCCCUCCUUCUGUCACUAGUCACCACCUCCUUCACUCUGUCUCCUGUCACCCCC
rnacentral:sRNA from 1 species